rnacentral:rRNA from 1 species
UCAGAACGAACGCGGGCGGCGUGCCUAACACAUGCAAGUCGAACGGAAUUAAGGGGCUUGCUCCUUAAUUUAGUGGCGCACGGGUGAGUAACGCGUGGAUAAUCUGCCUGACGAUCUGGGAUAACAUCUCGAAAGGGGUGCUAAUACCGGAUAAGCCCACGGGAACUUCGGUUCUUGCGGGAAAAGGGGGGGACCUUCGGGCCUUCUGUCGUCGGAUGAGUCCGCGUACCAUUAGCUAGUUGGUAGGGUAAUGGCCUACCAAGGCUACGAUGGUUAGCUGGUCUGAGAGGAUGAUCAGCCACACUGGAACUGAGACACGGUCCAGACUCCUACGGGAGGCAGCAGUGGGGAAUUUUGCGCAAUGGGCGAAAGCCUGACGCAGCAACGCCGCGUGAGUGAUGAAGGCUUUCGGGUCGUAAAGCUCUGUCAAGGGGAAAGAAGUGUAUUGUGGUUAAUACCCAUGAUACUUGACGGUACCCCUAAAGGAAGCACCGGCUAACUCCGUGCCAGCAGCCGCGGUAAUACGGAGGGUGCGAGCGUUGUUCGGAAUUAUUGGGCGUAAAGCGCGUGUAGGCGGUUUGUUAAGUCUGAUGUGAAAGCCCCGGGCUCAACCUGGGAAGUGCAUUGGAUACUGGCAGACUUGAAUACGGGAGAGGGUAGUGGAAUUCCUGGUGUAGGAGUGAAAUCCGUAGAUAUCAGGAGGAACACCGGUGGCGAAGGCGGCUGCCUGGACCGAUAUUGACGCUGAGACGCGAAAGCGUGGGUAGCAAACAGGAUUAGAUACCCUGGUAGUCCACGCCGUAAACGAUGAGUACUAGGUGUUGCGGGUAUUGACCCCUGCAGUGCCGCAGCUAACGCAUUAAGUACUCCGCCUGGGAAGUACGGUCGCAAGACUAAAACUCAAU